AUUGAACGCUGGCGGCAGGCCUAACACAUGCAAGUCGAGCGGAGCGGCGGACGGGUGAGUAAUGCCUAGGCAUCUGCCUGGUAGUGGGGGAUAACGUACGGAAACGGGCGCUAAUACCGCAUCCUAUCAGAUUAGCCUAGGUCGGAUUAGCUAGUGGGUGGGGUAAUGGCCUACAAAGGCGACGACCCGUAACUGGUCGGAGAGGAUGAUCAGUCACACUGGAACUGAGACAGGGUCCAGACUCCUACGGGAGGCAGAAGUGGGGAAGAUUGGACAAUGGGCGAAAGCCUGAUCCAGCCAUGCCGCGUGUGUGAAGAAGGUCUUCGGAUUGUAAAGCACGUUAAGUUGGGAGGCGUUACCAACAGAAUAAGCACCGGCUAACUUCGUGCCAGCAGCCGCGGUAAUAC
rnacentral:rRNA from 1 species